rnacentral:rRNA from 2 species
AUGUCCGAUCAUACCAGCACUAAUGCACCGGAUCCCAUCAGAACUUCGCAGUCAAGCGUGCUUGGGCGAGAGUAGUACUAGGAUGGGUGACCUCCGGGGAACUCCUCGUGUUGCACCUC